rnacentral:lncRNA from 1 species
GAGGCGUCGCGCGGCCGGAGAUGCGGGGCGCGGGUCCUCACGGGGCCGGACUCCCGCGUCUGAGGGAGUCGUGGCCGCUCCCUUCGAGGCAGCAGCGUCCUGUGAGGCGAGUGGCGCGUUCAGCUAGGCCCGAGGGACGCCGCGGGGGGUUCAGUCAGCAACCUCGAUCUCGGAAAAGCCGAGCGAAGUUUCCAGACGGCGCCGGCCGGUUGCGGCCGGUUGGUGCGUCGGCCGGCGCGCUCAGGGGGGCUCAGAAGUCGCCCGAGCCAAAGCGGGCUUUAGCAGGCGGGCCUCGGAAGCGGGGACGACGGACCCGGUCCCACCGCACCCCGGAACAAACGGAAACAGUCGCUCCGAAUUGCCAGACACUCCGCUUUUGUAGCGGAUCCCGCAUUUCCAGAAGGAAAGCGUAGGUACGUCCUUUAAAGGGGGCCGAUCCUCCCUCCCUCGCCCCUUCUGAGUAAAGGUGAUGCACCUAGUUCGAUUCCUCACCGGAAAGAACUCUCCUGUGUGUUACCCUGGGAGUUAAACGUUCUCGGGGUAAGUAAACGGGGGUGUGUGGGGGUAUACCUAUUAAAAUACGACUUUUGGCACCCCCAUUCCUUCCUCCAGGAGUCUCCCGGGAAUAAAAGCGUUAGUAAGUCAUGUUCACAGGAGAGGACGGAGUACUGGAAACAGUAAGACGGUGAUUCAGACAACAAGAGUUUAACAAGCAUGUUAAUUCUCUGGGUUUGACCUAGAAGGACAUUAGUAUGUUGUGAGAAAAGAUUGUAAUCAAGUAGUAUUCCAUGGGGCUGAUCGGAGGUUAAGCGGCCGCACUGCUCUGGAAGAGGACCUCGGCCGGGUUCCCAGCACCCACAUAGCAGCUCACAACUGCCUGUAACCCUGGUUCCAGGAGGGAUCUGACACCCUCUUCUGGACGCUUCAGACACCAGGCACGACAGGUGUGAAGGCGCCUUUAAUCCCGGCACUUGGGAGGCAGAGGCAGGCAAUCUCUGAGUUCUAGUCCAGUCUGGAUUUGAAAGUGUACACAGUAGGAUGUUUUUGAGUGAGCAUGAAGCAAACCCAACACUUUGGUCACAGUGGAGUGUGGGAGGUACUAGGAAAGUGGAAAAAGGAAAGGUGAAGGCUGAAAAUUGGGAGGUGAGUGCUUAGAAAAUUAAUUUAAAAUGAAUAAAAUUUUAUUCUAAGUAUAAAAUACUACAGAAAAGAGCAACUGAGGGUAUAGCCCCUGGGCUCAAUCCUUAGGAAGGUGUGUGCUGGGGGGGGGGGGGAGUAUUACUACAAAAAUGUAAUAAAAUGGGAUUAGAGUAGACCAAUUGGCAAACCCUGGAACCCAGUGAGAGAUUCUGUCUCAAAAUAAGGCGGGAACUGGAGAGAUGGCUUAGCAGAGAAAAGUACCUGCUGUCCAAAGCCUGCCAGCCUGAGGUGGAUCCCCAAAACCCAGGUAAAAGGGGAUGGAGAGAGAAACACCCCACACCCCCAAAAUUGUCCUCUGACCUUCACAUGUGUGCUGUGGCACACACAUACAUAUACAUAAAUAAACUU